rnacentral:rRNA from 1 species
CGAACGGGUGAGUAACACGUGGGCAACCUUUCCUAUCGCGGGGGAUAACACCGGGAAACCGAUGCUAAUACCGCAUGUCGUCACUGAUCGCAUGGUUGGUGAAGAAAGCAGCAAUGCACGAUGGGGUGGGCCCGCGGCCUAUCAGCUAGUCGGUGGGGUAACGGCCUACCGAGGCGAUGACGGGUAGUUGGUCUGAGAGGACGGCCAGCCACACGGGGACUGAGACACGGCCCCG